rnacentral:lncRNA from 1 species
UUUUGGGAUGAAAUCUGAGUGAGGCGGCGAAAUUGAUUAAGUUGGUGGUGCAGAUAACGAAAUUUCGGUGGUACCGCCUUAGAGGCUACUAUGGUGUCGACGUCGUGAAGGAGGAGGUGGUAAUGGUGGAGGCGUUGUCAGGUGGGUGGCGGUGAUUUUGGGGUAAGGGUUUGGAAUGGGGUUGAGGGUAGAUGUGAGGGAGAUGAUCUGGUUGGGUUGUUUUGGUUUUCAACGAACGACACUGCAAUUGAAAUGGAAGUCUUCUUAGAGUUCUUAGUCAUUUGAGAUUUGUUCUAUUCUACAGCAGCAACAAAGGAAUAUAUGGCUUACAAUGUAAAUGAAGAUCCUCCUUUGCAAACCUUAUUCCGCGGUUCAAUGACCUACUAUUAGCACUGAAUUUCUCAACAAUUUCUCUAUAAAUCUUGCAGCUAUAAUUGGUGAGAUGGCUUCAGAUAUUGUUACCAAUAACCAAAUCCAAAUGUUCAUCCCAAAAAUAAGGUGAAUCUUUGGAAAUAACUUAAGAAAUUAAUGCUACUCUUGGCCCAUAUAUAUUUACAUAUUGGAUGUUUUUAAAACUUGGCCCAUUUAACCCUGAUUAUUGGUCCAACUAAAGCCUAACAUAUACAUAUAUAUGUGUUGCUUUUUACUCUAGCUGUGAGACUGUGAUUUAAAAAAAAUAAAAAGGAAAAACAUAUGCAUUGAGAGAGAGAAAUCAACGGCUUGUUUUGAUGUUAAAACGUGUGGUUUCUUCUUCAAGUUGGUCUCAUCUUUGUACUUCUUUCAUAAUUUUUCUUCUUGUCUUUGUGGCUACAAAUCAACACCAUUAUCUUAUUUUUUGUGAGUGAGAUUGAAAAAUAACCGAGUAUAUAUGUUAUGGGUUAGAGCCAUUUGGAUUAGUUGUUUGUUAGAAAAAUAUAACAUAAAGUGUAAUUUUCUUAUCAUAUUGGUGGGUUUAAUUGUAAGAUAUUUAUUUAGUCAUGACCAUAGAGUUUAUUGGUUGGACCUUUCUCAGUUUGUUUCAGGUUUACUAUUGCAAUAUGCUCAUUGCAUUCAUCAUUUCUUCGGUGUUGUGCACAUUAAUCAACACUGACCUGUUUCUUCACUUCUGCAUCAAACAAACUUGAGAAUUGUUGCUCAAAUUGAAGUUUCAAUAUGGUCGUGUUCCAUUUCUGGUUCUUUUUCACAUGUAUGCAUUAUUCUAUAUGUUUUACCAGCCGUGAUCGAUUCAAUCCAAUUUCUUGGUCUUACCCAAUUUACAGAAUAUUAUUGUUUUAUUCGAAUGACCCUAUAUAUGUUUCUGGAAAUUCGCUUCAAGAUUUCUGCUUAUCUACAGUCUACAAUAUAUUAAAAGUGGG